rnacentral:rRNA from 1 species
CAAAGGAAUUGACGGGGCCGCACAAGCGGCGGAGCAUGCGGAUUAAUUCGAUGCAACGCGAAGAACCUUACCAAGGCUUGACAUACACCGGUAACGCCCAGAGAUGGGUGCCCCUUUGUGGUCGGUGGACAGGCGGUGCAUGGUUGUCGUCAGCUCGUGUCGUGAGAUGUUGGGUUAAGUCCCGCAACGAGCGCAACCCUCGUCCUAUGUUGCCAGCGGGUCAUGCCGGGGACUCAUGGGAGACUGCCGGGGUCAACUCGGAGGAAGGUGGGGAUGACGUCAAAUCAUCAUGCCCCUUAUGUCUUGGGCUUCACGCAUGCUACAAUGGCCGGUACAAAGGGCUGCGAUACCGCGAGGUGGAGCGAAUCCCAGAAAGCCGGUCUCAGUUCGGAUUGGGGUCUGCAACUCGACCCCAUGAAGUCGGAGUCGCUAGUAAUCGCAGAUCAGCAACGCUGCGGUGAAUACGUUCCCGGGCCUU